rnacentral:lncRNA from 1 species
CCCCAUCCCCGUGUCCCCCGCCCUCCUCGGGGACACGUCAGACCCGACGUCCACUGGCCGCGCCCAGCGUUUAGGCAGGAAGACCAGCAAACAGGUGUUUGUCAGCUACAACCUCCAGAACACGGACAGCAGCUUCGCGUUACUCGUGGAAAACAGGAUCAAGGAGGAGAUGGAGGCUUUCCCGGAGAAGUUCUAGGCGGCGGCCGUGGGGCUGGGACCCGCCCUGCGGACUCGGAAUAAAUGCGGCGGCUCUCGCCAGGCCUCAGGCUCACGCGCUUACCUUUGCUUUCAAGGCUCGGCCCUCCUUCUGCCGCCCCUCCCGCUCCCGCUGGCCGGGAAGGAGGGAAGCCCAGGGCUGGGCCGGGGUGCGGUGCGGACAGAGGGGCUGCCCUGGUGCCUGGAGAGGACGCGGUGGCCACGGCUCCGUCAGGAUCGAGGCCCAGGGCAGGGCUGGAACGGUCCUUCCGUCCUGCCUCCCGCCCGCUCGCCUCUGGGCCCUGUGUCCUCACCUGUGAGUCGGGAAGGGUCCCGUUUGUCGUGCCAGGUUAGUGCGAGGCGGCUUCGCCAACCCUGGCACCGUGGAAACGAAGGUGCCGACCGACUGCAGCUCUUGGGAGCCAAGCCCCCCCCCCAGCCCAGGUCAGUGGUUCCUGACCUGGCUUCAGGUCAAAUCUGCGCUGGGGGCCUUUACCAGCCCCAGGGGCCCAGGCCCGGUGGGGUCGCAAAGCCCCCCAGGUGCGUCUCAGCACGGGCAAGGCCGAGGCACUGGUCAAGGGCUCUCCAGUUCUUGGGGUCCAUUGGGACCCCUUUUGUCAUGAGAGGCAGGUGGUCUUGGGCCCAGUGAUAGCCUUGGCGCCAGCCUGGUGUCGAGCGCGUGUGGGCAGCCAGGGUGCCGCCACUUCGGGAUUAGGCCUGGGGGUCAAGGCGUUUAAGUCUGAGGCCCUGGCCCCAAACAUGGCUUGGGAGCCAGCGGGCACCCCUCUGGGCAGAGUGCGUAACAGAAAAUCGGGGAUAUGGAGAGUUUGGUAUAAAUACUUUAUUAAAGAAAUAUUGCUUUCCGG